CCUUUGCCCCAUGAGCACUUUGUGCUCAUAUUAUUUCCACAUGACCAGUCAGUUGGGCUCAGCCCAACUCCCUUUGCGUCGCGAGUAUAUAAACACCUUACAUCCUGUAUUGUAAUGCAUCGAUUUUAGUACUUGUGUUUUCUAAGGAAAGUCACCAGUCUGUCGACAGCACCGUCAGGAGCUCUCACAAUCGCGCCUCCAGCACUAGGGCGAUAGCCCUAAUGCCCUACAACCCACUCCUUUCCCUCCUCUCGACAAGCACCAAUACUAUCGUACUGCUGAUUGUGUAACGUUCUGAAGCUUCCGCUACAGUCGGUUACCCCACCUGGUAUUUGUGUGUGUUCCACACACAUAAUUACCAUACAUACACUGUCUAUCACCACGGCCUCACUUUAUCCAAACGCUCUGUGGGCAGCAUCUACAGUAACUUGUACAAGUAAGCUUAAGCAACAGAUCAAACAAAAGGGCUCACGGACUGGGAAAGUUCAACGUUUUAUCGUGGGCGAAGACGUUGGCAGGCACUGCUUGUUGAAUAACAAGCUGUACCUCUACAAUUAAACAUUCAGUCAUACAGCGACUAUACUCCUCAUGUGCAAUUGUCUAACCGCAACGUUGAACUAUUUCCGACGAGAUUGACCGCGCACAUCUAUGCAGCAGCUAAAAUGGCACCUUGUCCUGAGUACGAUACUGUACACGAUGGGGUUGCAGGUUAACCUACCAGCAUGCGAGGAAUCUUGUGUGUUGAGUAGGCAAUCUGAACAAAGCAGUUGCAACUUGUUUAUCUACAGAGGUAGUGUCCCUGGGUACAGUGUCACUGGAUACAGUGUGUACAUUUACUGCUGUAUGUGGACUUUUGGGCAUAUUAUCCGUUUUGCCAUCAUGUUGCCAUAUUUUCUCUCGUCAGUUUUAGCACCUGUCACGAACGAAA
rnacentral:misc_RNA from 1 species